GGUCCUGUGGCCUAAUGGAUAUGGCGUUGGCCUCCGGAGCCAAAGAUUGUGGGUUCGAUUCCCAUCAGGAUCG
rnacentral:tRNA from 1 species